rnacentral:rRNA from 1 species
GACAGAGGGGGCAAGCGUUGCUCGGAAUCACUGGGCGUAAAGGGCGCGUAGGCGGGAUGGCAAGUCAGUCGUGAAAUCUCUCGGCUCAACCGAGAAACGUCGGCUGAUACUGCCGUUCUUGAGGGAUGCAGAGGAGACUGGAAUUCCCGGUGUAGCGGUGAAAUGUGUAGAUAUGCGGAGGAACACCGAUGGCGAAGGCAAUCCCCCUGGGCCUGCACUGACGCUCAUGCACGAAAGCGUGGGGAGCAAACAGG